CCCAGUAUCAGCCCAUGCUGUAGCCCUGGUGCAGAUGGAACGGCUCCAGGUAGACCAUACUGCCCCAGUCCCUCACCCCUGCCCCGAUUGUCUCCAAAGAGGCAAAAGGGAGCUGGCAAAGUUGAAGGAGAUGUCGCCUCUACCAUUCCUCACACAGACGUUUGCCUUCUCUGUGUGCUGGUCAGACAACAGUGACACCUUUGCUCGCAGGAGCUGGGAGGAGUUUAGGCAGCUCCAGACCCUUAAGAAAAUCUUCCCAGUGGAGGCAGGCCUGCUUCAGAGAUCUGAACGAGUUCUUCCCAAGCUUCCUGAUGCUCCAUUGUUGACACGUCGGGGACAUACUGGCCGAGGCCUGUUACGUUUGCGGCUGCUGGAAACCUAUGUACGGUCACUGCUGGCAACCUCACAGCACAUAGUGACGAGCUCAAGCUCCCAGACAGUGGUGGGGCAGACAAGGUGACUGAGGGCAGGACUGUUCCCCCUGUAGUACCAACUCGCCCCUGUAUGAGUGCCAUCCAGAGCAGAUGCUGCUCCAUCACCCGCAGGGCAGUGGGACAGGAACAACGGACCCAAGUUCCCCCUUGAGGAUUUGUAUGGCCCUGCAGAGAGGCUGUACUGUCAAAGCCAACCUCAAGCAAAGCAGGGACGAGGGUGUGGCUCUAUGACUGGCAGGGCCAUGGGCCAGUCAACUUUCUAUUUCCUCUAAAUAAAACUGGAAUGACUUC
rnacentral:lncRNA from 1 species